UAACGAAUCUUCCGCAAUGCCCGCAAGGGUGACGGAGCGACGCCGCGUGUGGGACGAAGCCCUUCGGGGUGUAAACCACUGUCAGGGGACAGAAAGUUCUGAUCGUCCCCAGAGGAAGGCACGGCUAACUCUGUGCCAGCAGCCGCGGUAAGACAGAGGUGCCAAGCGUUAGGCGGAAUCACUGGGCUUAAAGCGUGUGUAGGCGGACUUCUAAGUACCUUGUGAAAUCCCCCGGCUCAACCGGGGAACUGCUGGGUAUACUGGGAGUCUUGAGCCAGCUAGGGGUCGCCGGAACAAGUGGUGGAGCGGUGAAAUGCGUAGAUAUCACUUGGAACGCCAAUGGUGAAAACAGGCGACUGGGGCUGUGCUGACGCUGAGACACGAAAGCCAGGGGAGCGAACGGGAUUAGAUACCCCGGUAGUCC
rnacentral:rRNA from 1 species